UGUGUUCGCAUAAACCAAGUACCUGAACAAAGCCCACAGAAGAGAGAUGGCGGGGAAAGCAGCACCAUAGAAGGAGCGUGCGUGGACCGAAACAGAAUUGAAAUACCUUGCUCUUGUUUUGGCUGACGAAAAGAACCAGUUUGCUGUUCGACUGGAAACAUUUGCUUUAAAGAAGUCGGUAAAUAAUGAUGUGUUCGAAGAUAUUUCGAAGUUUUCAGCUUCAAUCCGGUUAUGUGCACUUUUCUAUACAGUACUUUACAAGAAGAAACAGGAAUUUGUUCAGGUGAUCGCCAUUUGACAGAUUGACAGCUGAGGACUAGAGUGGCCCAUCGGAUUACUAGAUUGGGAAUGCUGGCGUUUGCAUGUAGAACUUUAGUGGCAUUAAAUUGCUUCAGUUUUUUGAUCUGUUUCUACUCGAGGUGUGUAAAAUCUAUAUCAUAAAGCAAACAAAGAAGCCUAAACUGUGUAUUACACUGUGAUAAAACACUCCAGACAUUUGAAAACACUUAAGUGUAGAAAGUGCUCGCCUGGGGCUUGUGUUUUCAACACUUCCCUGGUUUUCUCAAAUGCCCGUCGUGUUUAAUCACAGUGUAAUACACAGUUUUGGCUUCCAAGUUAUUCUCGCAUUUUGAUUGCUUCUUGCCCAUGAUCUAUUAGGUGGCAGAUGCACGAUUGACAUCAUCAUUACAAAGAAUUUUCCCUCUGUGUUUUAAAAUGGUGGAAAGUUUCACGAAUUUAGGAAAUAUUUUACGUGGCUGUGCAAUAGACAAGGUGAAAAAAAGUCUUGCCAAGGCAUUGAACAGGUCCGAGAAGCGGGAAGAAG